rnacentral:rRNA from 1 species
GAUGAACGCUGGCGGCGUGCUUAACACAUGCAAGUCGAACGGUGAAGGCGGAGCUUGCUCUGCUGGAUCAGUGGCGAACGGGUGAGUAACACGUGAGCAAUCUGCCCCUGACUCUGGGAUAAGCGCUGGAAACGGCGUCUAAUACUGGAUACGAGCUGCGAAGGCAUCUUCAGCAGCUGGAAAGAAUUUCGGUCAGGGAUGAGAUCGCGGCGUAUCAGCUUGUUGGUGAGGUAAUGGAUCACCAAGGAGUCGACGGGUAGCCGGCCUGAGAGGGUGACCGGCCGAAAUGGACCGGGGAGACGGUGGAGACAACUAGGGGAGGAAGAAGUAGAGAAUCUUCAGGAAGGGGCGAGAGGGUGACGAAGCAACGGAGCGUGAGUGAUGAAGGUCUUGGGAUAGUAAAACUCUGUUAUUAGGGAAGAACAAAUGUGUAAGUAACUAUGCACGUCUUGACGGUACCUAAUCAGAGAGCCGCGGCUAACUACGU